rnacentral:tRNA from 1 species
CGGGACGUGGCUCAGCCUGGUAGAGCACUGCAUUCGGGAUGCAGGGGUCGCUGGUUCAAAUCCAGUCGUCCCGA